CCAGGAAGAUGUAAGCUUCUUGAGGGCAAGAAAUAUUUCACUAACACCUAACAUAUUAUGUUGUUGUUCAGUACUUUUUUAGUCUUCUCCAACUCCCUGUGAUCUUAUUUGGGAUUCUCUUGCCAGAGACAUUGGAGUGGUCUGCCAUUUCCUUCUCCAGUUCAUUUUACAGAUGAGGAAACUGAGACAAAUAGGGUUCAGUGACUUGCCUAAAGUCACAUUGCUAGUAAAUGUCUGGGGCCAGAUUUAAACUUAAGAUGUCUUGACUCCAGGCUCAGUGCUCUUAACCAUUGAACUGUAGUUGCUUUUAUACCAUUUAGCAGGUGCUUAAUAAAUGCUCACUGAUGGAUUGAUGGAUUAAAAGGACCAGCCCAGGCAGGUUGAGAGACUCCUUUGGACCCUUCCCUUCCUUGCUCUCUCCUGAAUUUUCUGAAUCACUCCCAUGCAGUUUGGCACACUUCCUCCCUGAGCAUUAGAAGUUUGAUGGUCACAUCACAUUCACCUUUGGAUUUCUCCAAAGCUUGCUCACCCACUUCUCUGCUUCCCUCCCUCCUUCCCAAUCCCAUUCCUACUGGCCAGCCAUGAGUUCCUAUGCCAUGAGUCACAGCAAACUGGGGGAGGUAGCAUUGCGAAGGAGUGGGGGUUAUUCUUCGAGAGGAUGACAUAUAAGCCAGUGAAGAAAACAAGGCUGUUUAUAAUGAAGUGCUAAAUUAUGUGGUACAGUUACUGCAGUAGGAGUUCAGAGGAGGCAUCUCCGGGACUCCUCCAUGUGACCCCAGAAAUGGCAGACACACAACUGGUCCCUUGACCCGGCCUUACAGAUCCUGCUGUGCUCAGAAGGGCUUUCAUUCAGCCAUGAAGAUUUAUUUCCUAAGGUAAUCAAGGAAAAAGAAAAAGAAACUACAUGUUCCAAAAUAUUUACAGCAGCUCCCUUUUGUGGUAAAAAAGAACUGAAAACAGAUAGGAUGUCCAACAAUUGGGAAACAGAUAAACAAGUAGUGGCACAUGUCUGCAAAGGAACACUACUGUGCCACAAAAAAUGCCAAACACGAUGAUCACACACACACACACACACACACACACACACACACACACACACACACAUGGAAAGACUUCUAUAAAGUAAUGCAAAAUUGAGAUGAGCAGAAGCAGGAGAAUGUUGGAUAUCUAACAUCAAUAGUGCAUGAUAAUCAACUCUGAAUGACUUAACCACCAGCAGCAAUGGAAAGAUCCAGGACAACUCCAAGAGACUCAUGAUGAAAUAGAUAGUCUGAAUACAGACUGAAGCAUACAAUUUUCUACCUGACCUCCUCCAUGAAUUCCUCUCUAGUGUAAGCAAUAUAUGUCUUGUUCCACAACAUCACAGACAUGGAAAUAUUCAUUCCACAAUACAUGUACAACCCAUAGAAUAUUAACUGCCCUCUGGAGCAGGGAGGAAGGGUGAGAGGGAGAGAGGGAGAAAAAAAGAAUGAGAUAGAAUUUUGGAUAUAGCUAACAUGAGAAUUUGUUUGUCUUUGACAAACAUUUAUUAUACAUUAUUACAUAUUUAUAACAAAUCAUAUGUAUUAUAUUUUUGUUAUAUUACAUAUAUUCUUUUACUUUUUAGAAAGUAAAAAGAAAUGAUAAUUAAAAAAAUAAGUGCCUUUAUUAAAAGUAUUAUUUAAAAGUAUCCCUUAUAGUGGUGCCCAUCUCUAUCCUCUUCCAUUCUUCUCACAUUUCUUAUUUGGACUCUAGUUCGGUUAUUAUAUUUUAAUAGCAUUCAAUUUUAACUGAUAUUGAGUACACUGUUUUCUUGGUUCAUUUUCAUCAGUUUAUAUACAUUUCCCUAUACUUGUCUGAAUUCUUCAUAUUCUUUAUUUCUUACCACACAAUCAUAUUCCAUUAUGUUCAUGUGCUACAUUGUGUUUAGCCAUCCCUCAGUAUGGACAUCCAUUCUGUUUCUAACUCUCUGAUGACAAAAGAAAUGUUACUAUAAAUAUUUUAGCAUAUAUGGGCCUUUCUUAUUGUCCACUGACCUUCUUGGUUUAUAUGCUAAGCAGUGAAAUAUUUGGGUCA
ensembl:lncRNA